rnacentral:rRNA from 1 species
GACGAACGCUGGCGGCGUGCCUAAUACAUGCAAGUCGAGCGCAGGAAGUCAUCCGAACCCUUCGGGGGGACGGUGACGGAAUGAGCGGCGGACGGGUGAGUAACACGUAAAGAACCUGCCCUCAGGUCUGGGAUAACCACGAGAAAUCGGGGCUAAUACCGGAUGGGUCAUCGGACCGCAUGGUCCGAGGAUGAAAGGCGCUUCGGCGUCGCCUGGGGAUGGCUUUGCGGUGCAUUAGCUAGUUGGUGGGGUAACGGCCCACCAAGGCGACGAUGCAUAGCCGACCUGAGAGGGUGAUCGGCCACACUGGGACUGAGACACGGCCCAGACUCCUACGGGAGGCAGCAGUAGGGAAUCUUCCACAAUGGACGAAAGUCUGAUGGAGCAACGCCGCGUGAACGAUGAAGGCCCUCGGGUCGUAAAAGUUUCUGUUGUAAGGGAAAGAAACAAAGUGCCACAAGGCAAAUGGCGGCCACCCUUGACGGUACCCUACAAAA